GAAAUUCGUUGGCGAUUUUGAGUGAAAUCGGAGAGGAAAUUCGUCGGCGAUUUUGAGUCAAAACGGAGAGGAAAUUCGCCGGCGAUUUUGAGUGAAAUCGGAGAGGAAAAUC
rnacentral:pre_miRNA from 1 species